GAUAUUUGUGUACUCUUGUAGGCACCUUCAAUGGUUUAUGUGAGCAACCAAGGCAUGGUCUAUUGUGCUGGUGCUGCUCCCAUGGCAAUUCCAAUGCAAACAGCAGGUGGUGUGGUAAUGGUUCCAGUAUCUUCAUCAGGGGGCGUUGGAGGCCAUCCUCAAACAGUUCAAAUGCCAGGUGGUAGUGUAAUGCAAGUAGUUAGUCAGCCACAGAUGUACCAAUCUCCUAUGGCUGGAGCUGUGAGCAUGCAGCCUCAAAUGGUCCAGGUGCCAACAUCUGGAGCUGGGGCUCUGGGGGGUCAAGCUCAAAUGGUCCAGAUGCCAACAUCUGGGGCUCAAGGAGGUCAAGCCCCAAUGGUCCAGGUGUCACAAAUGGGAAAACCUGAAGGCCCACCAGAAUUUACCAGGAUCACUCCUGAUGUAACAGUGCCCGCAGAGAAGGAACCACUUCCUUAAGUAAUUACAGAUUUCAAUUACUCUUUGUCAAAAUCAACGGACAAGCACGGAGAUUGUUUUUCGUUAUGAUGCUCACUGUUGUUUAAAAGCACUACACGCAGCAAAAGUAACACAGUUAUCUUAAAUGAUCACCUUUCAGUUAUUAAACGUGGAGUAAAUAACUGAAAGGUAGAUUUGAUAGACUGAAAAGCAAGUAUGCAGCUGUUUCGUGAAAGGUUGUCAGAAAAAAAGAAACAAAUACACGCAAUUCCCCCAAAAGGUAAAGUGGAAUAUUUUCAGGUCGCAGUUCCUUUAUCUCAGGAUUUCAGGGAAAUCCGCCUGAGAAAACGGACGAGAAUAUUGCGAUUUUAUGAAUUUAUUUAUUUUUUAUUUAUUUGACUUAUAAAAAUUAAUUGAUUACCGGAUACCCAGAUUGCCCUCGUCACGUCCUUUUUUCUGACCAACUAUCUCAAAACAACUGUUUCCAGUACAGCUUAAGCACGGAGUGUACACUGCUGAAAAGGCUUAGUGUUCCCUUAUUAUAAUUUAGGUGUAGUAUUUAUUUAUAACACCUAAGAAUGAAGCUGCACUUUUAUUUAGAGUUAUUAAUUCCCACUCAUUUGAAGGAAAUUUUACUAGACUGUAAAGCUGGUCGUAUUAAAAGCUGGAGUGAACAUUUCCAUGAAACAAAGGCAUUGCA